rnacentral:rRNA from 1 species
GCGGAGGGAUCAUUACUGAGUUACCGCUCUAUAACCCUUUGUGAACAUACCUAACCGUUGCUUCGGCGGGCAGGGGAAGCCUCUCGCGGGCCUCCCCUCCCGGCGCCGGCCCCACCACGGGGACGGGGCGCCCGCCGGAGGAAACCAAACUCUAUUUACACGACGUCUCUUCUGAGUGGCACAAGCAAAUAAUUAAAACUUUUAACAACGGAUCUCUUGGUUCUGGCAUCGAUGAAGAACGCAGCGAAAUGCGAUAAGUAAUGUGAAUUGCAGAAUUCAGUGAAUCAUCGAAUCUUUGAACGCACAUUGCGCUCGCCAGCAUUCUGGCGAGCAUGCCUGUUCGAGCGUCAUUUCAACCCUCAAGCACCGCUUGGUUUUGGGGCCCCACGGCACACGUGGGCCCUUAAAGGUAGUGGCGGACCCUCCCGGAGCCUCCUUUGCGUAGUAACUAACGUCUCGCACUGGGAUCCGGAGGGACUCUUGCCGUAAAACCCCCCAAUUUUUUACAGGUUGACCUCGGAUCAGGUAGGAAUACCCGCUGAACUUAAGCAUAUCAAUAAGCGGAGGAAAA